UCACACACUCUCGUUUCAGUAAGGUGUUG
rnacentral:piRNA from 1 species